UAUGUAGGCGGACUAAUCAGUCAGACGUGAAAUCCCGAGGCUCAACCUCGGAAUUGCGUUUGAUACUGUUAGUCUAGUAUCCCGGAGGGGUGAGGGGAAUUCCUAGUGUAGGGGUGAAAUUCGCAGAUAUUAGGAGGAACACCAGUGGCGUAGGCGCCUCACUGGACGGGUAUAGACGCUGAGAUACGAAAGCGUGGGGAGCAAACA
rnacentral:rRNA from 1 species